UCUGGUUGAUCCUGCCAGAGGUUACUGCUAUCGGUGUUCGCCUAAGCCAUGCGAGUCAUAUGUAGCAAUACAUGGCGUACUGCUCAGUAACACGUGGAUAACCUGCCCUUGGGUCCGGCAUAACCCCGGGAAACUGGGGAUAAUUCCGGAUAACGCAUAUGUGCUGGAAUGCUUUAUGCGUCAAAUGGAUUCGUCCGCCCAAGGAUGGGUCUGCGGCCUAUCAGGUAGUAGUGGGUGUAAUGUACCUACUAGCCAGCGACGGGUACGGGUUGUGAGAGCAAGAGCCCGGAGAUGGAUUCUGAGACAUGAAUCCAGGCCCUACGGGGCGCAGCAGGCGCGAAAACUUUACAAUGCGGGAAACCGUGAUAAGGGGACACCGAGUGUCAGCAUCAUAUGCUGGCUGUCCAGGUGUGUAAAAUACACCUGUUAGCAAGGGCCGGGCAAGACCGGUGCCAGCCGCCGCGGUAACACCGGCGGCCCGAGUGGUGAUCGUGAUUAUUGGGUCUAAAGGGUCCGUAGCCGGUUUGGUCAGUCCUCCGGGAAAUCUGAUAGCUCAACUAUUAGGCUUUCGGGGGAUACUGCCAGGCUUGGAACCGGGAGAGGUAAGAGGUACUACAGGGGUAGGAGUGAAAUCUUGUAAUCCCUGUGGGACCACCUGUGGCGAAGGCGUCUUACCAGAACGGGU
rnacentral:rRNA from 1 species